UUGGAGGGCAAGUCUGGUGCCAGCAGCCGCGGUAAUUCCAGUUCCAAUAGCGUAUAUUAAAGUUGUUGCAGUUAAAAAGCUCGUAGUUGAAUUUCGGGGUUAGUAGGUUGGUCGUGCCUCAGGUAUGUACUGAUCUCACUGAUUCCUCCUUCCUGAUGAACCGUAAUGCCAUUAAUUUGGUGUUGCGGGGAAACUGGACUGUUACUUUGAAAAAAUUAGAGUGUUUAAAGCAGGCUAACGCUUGAAUACAUUAGCAUGGAAUAAUGAAAUAGGACGUUCGAUCCUAUUUUGUUGGUUUCUAGGAUUGACGUAAUGAUUAAUAGGGAUAGUUGGGGGCAUUAGUAUUCAAUUGUCAGAGGUGAAAUUCUUGGAUUUAUUGAAGACUAACUACUGCGAAAGCAUUUGCCAAGGAUGUUUUCAUUAAUCAAGAACGAAAGUUAGGGGAUCGAAGACGAUCAGAUACCGUCGUAGUCUUAACCAUAAACUAUGCCGACUAGGGAUCGGAUGAUGUUAAUUUUUUAAUGACUCAUUCGGCGCUUUACGGGAAA
rnacentral:rRNA from 1 species